rnacentral:rRNA from 1 species
UGGGGAAUAUUGGGCAAUGGGCGCAAGCCUGACCCAGCAACGCCGCGUGAAGGAAGAAGGCUUUCGGGUUGUAAACUUCUUUUCUCAGGGACGAAGCAAGUGACGGUACCUGAGGAAUAAGCCACGGCUAACUACGUGCCAGCAGCCGCGGUAAUACGUAGGUGGCAAGCGUUAUCCGGAUUUACUGGGUGUAAAGGGCGUGUAGGCGGGAAAGCAAGUCAGAUGUGAAAACCAUGGGCUCAACCUGUGGCCUGCAUUUGAAACUGUUUUUCUUGAGUACUGGAGAGGCAGACGGAAUUCCUAGUGUAGCGGUGAAAUGCGUAGAUAUUAGGAGGAACACCAGUGGCGAAGGCGGUCUGCUGGACAGCAACUGACGCUGAGGCGCGAAAGCGUGGGGAGCAAACA